UGAAUGGGAGGUUUAGAACUCUUCGGUCCUUUUUCACUUGGCAAAGCCCCAACCCAGUGUCGGCGUACACUCGGUUCAGCUGAUCGAAAAAUCUCUUUGCUACUCACAAGAGCUAUAGCAGUAGGGGAAGUAAUGGUGUAUGAUGCUGAAGAGGACGAAUUUGAGGUAGAUGGGGAUAUCACACAGAAUUGAAGCGUGGCGAUGGGGGUUGUCCCGUUAACCUGUGCACCUACUACUUGCUCAGUGGCCACGCCCCCGCACUGGUCGUGCUACUCUGGAACUUCACCGUGAAACGGCAGAUGGUGCUAUCUAUUAUGUUUUCAGAAGAACUGGAAUGAAGGAGCUGACGUAAUGCAUUUCUUUAUAUUCUUCUUAGCUUCAUACUCAGGAUUCUCAACCUUUGGGAAAGAUAGCUAGAGCUGCAGAUUUGCAAUUAGUUUCUUACAAAAUGUACUGUACAAGCAGAUACAUGACUAACUUUAGUUCAGUUUCUGACUAUGUAGAUUUCAGUUGUUUGGGACUAUGACAAACUUAAAGCAAUUGCUGUACAUGUAAUUUUUCUGUUGAUUCAUGGUAUCUGUUCA